UACGUAGGGGGCUAGCGUUGUCCGGAAUCAUUGGGCGUAAAGAGCGUGUAGGCGGCCCGGUAAGUCCGCUGUGAAAGUCGGGGGCUCAACCCUCGGAAGCCGGUGGAUACUGUCGGGCUCGAGUACGGAAGAGGCGAGUGGAAUUCCUGGUGUAGCGGUGAAAUGCGCAGAUAUCAGGAGGAACACCAAUUGCGAAGGCAGCUCGCUGGGACGUAACUGACGCUGAGACGCGAAAGCGUGGGGAGCAAACAGG
rnacentral:rRNA from 1 species